rnacentral:rRNA from 1 species
GACGAACGCUGGCGGCGUGCUUAACACAUGCAAGUCGAACGGUGAGGCGCCUUCCUUUUUGGUUGGUGUGUAUGAGUGGCGAACGGGUGAGUAACACGUGAGUAACCUUCUCCCUUCUUCUGAACAACCGCAUGCCAGAGUUGCUAAUACAGGAUAUUCUGGGUCUGUCGCAUGGUUAGUCUAGGAUAGCUAUGGUUUCGGUGGUGGAUGGGCUGGCGGCUUAUCAGCUUGUUGGUGGGGUGAUGGCCUACCAAGGCGGUGACGGGUAGCCGACCUGAGAGGGUGGACGGCAAUACAGGGAAGGCAAGACCGACACGACUCCGACGGGAGGCAGCAGGGGGGAAUAUUGCACAAUGGGCGCAAGCCUGAUGCAGCGACGCCGCGGGAGGGAUGGAGGCCGUCGGGUUGUGAACUUCUUUCGGCAGUGAAGCAGGCCUGCCUCGUGUGUGGGUGGGUUGACGGUAGCUGGACAAGAAGCGCCGGCUAACUACGUG